rnacentral:rRNA from 7 species
GUGACUGCGUACCUUUUGUAUAAUGGGUCAGCGACUUAUAUUCUGUAGCAAGGUUAACCGUAUAGGGGAGCCGGAGGGAAACCGAGUCUUAAUUGGGCGUUAAGUUGCAGGGUAUAGACCCGAAACCCGGUGAUCUAGCCAUGGGCAGGUUGAAGGUUGGGUAACACUAACUGGAGGACCGAACCGACUAAUGUUGAAAAAUUAGCGGAUGACCUGUGGCUGGGGGUGAAAGGCCAAUCAAACCGGGAGAUAGCUGGUUCUCCCCGAAAGCUAUUUAGGUAGCGCCUCGUGAAUUCAUCUCCGGGGGUAGAGCACUGUUUCGGCUAGGGGGCCAUCCCGGCUUACCAACCCGAUGCAAACUGCGAAUACCGGAGAAUGUUAUCACGGGAGACACACGGCGGGUGCUAACGUCCGUCGUGAAGAGGGAAACAACCCAGACCGCCAGCUAAGGUCCCAAAGUCAUGGUUAAGUGGGAAACGAUGUGGGAAGGCCCAGACAGCCAGGAUGUUGGCUUAGAAGCAGCCAUCAUUUAAAGAAAGCGUAAUAGCUCACUGGUCGAGUCGGCCUGCGCGGAAGAUGUAACGGGGCUAAACCAUGCACCGAAGCUGCGGCAGCGAACGUAUCACCCAAGACAACUUUACGGAGUUGACGAUUGACGGAGCGAAGCGACGUCAAAGCGUUCAUUAAAGUCGAGUUGGCUUAGGGAUACGUUCGUUGGGUAGGGGAGCGUUCUGUAAGCCUGUGAAGGUGUGUCGUGAGGCAUGCUGGAGGUAUCAGAAGUGCGAAUGCUGACAUAAGUAACGAUAAAGCGGGUGAAAAGCCCGCUCGCCGGAAGACCA